UCCUCUCCCGCUUCCUUCUUGACUUCCUACCCUUUUUCUUCAUUUCCUCUUCCUUUUACCUUUUCCUACUUGUCAGGGCAUAUUUCCUAUUCUCGCUCCCUCCUCUCGGCAUACCGUCUAGACCACUUCGGUGCGCAGUGACACUCUGGAGCAGGGCAUUCUCCGGGACCGGGUUAUUUCUCCUGCGGCAGGGUCGCCUCAGGAGUGCGUGCAAUUCCCAGACACUCACGACAAAUUCCUUCCUAAUUUCUCUCGAAAAGCAGGCGUUCUUAGCAGCUCUGCGCCUGUUUAAGGGUUGGGUGCGUUUGGAGGGGUGAAGGGAAAAGAGAGAGAGAGACACGGGGCAGUGAGAUGGGUGGGCAGUUGCAAGCGCCCUAUUCUGGAAUUAGUAUUUGGUCUUGGAAUUUUACAUCUGCAACGUUGCCGACAUCACUGUUGGCGUUGCCUGGGCUUUGCAAAUACGUGGGGAAGACUUGGGGAGCAUCCGGGCCUCAGUACUAUGUAUGUGAGGGGUUACCUAAUAUUUCAUAAGUAACUACACCCCGGUAACUGCUUCUGUUCCCAAACUGGAGCCCCCAGGGUCGAGUGGGGCCUGGUUCCGGGAGAGCGCAGAAAUUGUGGCCUUCUUCCCUGUGGCCUCCUCUUGGCGUUUUGGGAAACGAGCUUGACCCGCCCUUUUCUGCUCUCUUCCUCCAAAUCUAUAGACCCAAGUGGUCACUGCUGGAGCUGGGUGGAGCCAGGAUUGAGGGGUGGAUUAGGUGUCUGCGGGGGAAGGGCUGCCCGCGGGCCCCCAGGCCCUGCUACCUUAUGUACCAUGCGGGGUUCAGCGGCCGGCAAAGGCUUUUUUUCCACGCCUGCAUACCGGAGAACCCCCAAGGCGCUGCGUGUUGGGUCUAUCCUCUCCCAGCAGUCAUGCCAGCGUCCAAGGCCGCAGGUAUGGAAUACAGCACACCUAGGCGUGCUUGGCAAACCGGGCUCCAGGACCCACGGCCCCCACACAGGGUUCCCGAAAACCAGUUUGUUUGCACUCUCUACAGCCGAUCUCGUAGGAAUAUUUAUUUCUAUGCCCAGAAAUAUUGAAUUGAUGCAGUGGCUCAGUUACCUUCGCGCCUGCUUGUCUUAAAUGUAUUUAUUUUACUUCUGCCACGCCGCAGAUAUUUAAGGAGCUGUAGAUACCGCACCCCUCAACAAUGCGGGACUCACUCUAGCCACAGGAAAUAUUUGCUGGGUGGUUAUUUGGACAUAAGUUCCAUCUUAAACCCAGAUUGACACCCAAGCAGGGGCUAUAAAGAUACUUGCUCUAGAAUUUUUCCAAUUUAACUAUAUGUGCACACAUGGAGAAUUUAAGAAUAUUUUAUAUCCCUCUCUAGAUCUAAAUAUUUAGAUGUGUUCUGUUGCAUGCCGUGAAGCUAAAAGCAAUCAGUGGUGUUCAUACUGGACAUGGAGAUGUUGUAUCAUUUUCAUCUCCCUGCACUUAGAUAGGAAUCUCAAUCUAAUAAAUUCAACCUUGUCAUUUUUAGAAUCAACAGGAUUUCUCCGGCUGUCGUUUGCGUUGCAUUUAUCCGAAUAAAUCCAGCUCGCAGGCAUCAGGCAGAGAACGGCUCCUGGCUCGAGUGCAGGCAGACGCCUCGGCCCAGCGCAGGACAGGACGCGAGGGGGCUCCUCCUGCUCCGGCGCCUGCGGGUCCGGUCUUUGAGGAAGUCUGGACGAGCUGCGCCCCCAGGUCCAGUGGUCUCUUGCUGCCCCGCAGUGCCUGGCACCCCCGCCCCACCUCUGCCCCGACCUCUGCCGAUGCUUUGGAAAUGCGCCUGGCCAAGUCCGUCCGCAGCGAAACUGAAAGCAAAUUCCCCGGCAGAGACAGCUCGAACUUUCUCCGACGCAAGUUAGCAACAGAGAUGGAGUGGAGGCUCCGGAAGGACAGUGCGCUAGUGUGAGCGCGUGCGGGGUGGGGCGGAGGAAGAGGAGUGAAGAGGGCACUGGGUGGCCGGGCCUGGCUGGCGGCGAAACGCUAGGGAAGGCAUCUCGUCUUCCUUAUUUCUGGGCAACUUCUAUGCCCCUAAUGGUAAAAAUAGUUUCCAAGCUGCCUCGGACGCCCAGGAUGUGUUUGUAGAGAUCACAGUGGGGAAGAUGCGGCUUUGGAAAAGUUGGCAAAAGAGCUUUACCCAGAAUGGUCCCCCCGGCGGGGUUCAGGAAAGCUUGAGACCAGCUGGCUUCCUUCGGGGUGGAAUGGCCAGGAAUCGGCCUGAGGAACCAACUCCCUGCCCACUUCUCUGCCCUCACCUCCAACUAAGGCUUAAAUAACCUACCACCGCUUGCGCUGCAAACUUCCCCGCGUGGUCGGCGGGCGAGGCCUGGACGCAGAGGGGGCCCACAAGACUGCUCCUCGGUGCGCUGGGCCCCAGCCCUGAGAGAGGCUUGAACGGAGGUGGGAGGACUAGUGUGGUUUCCGCUCCCACUUGGCUUGUCCAGACCCUCAUGGCAGAUCCCCCAACUCCCGGGAGCUGGCGCUUCCCCCUGAGACCCACAAUCUUGGGGGGCCGGCUAGGGCGCAAAGUGCGCGCGCGGGCCCGCGCGGGGGCGGCCGCCAGUCUCUCUCUCCGCGGGGCCUGUCGCCGGGCCGGCCACGGCGGGUGAGUGAUGAGGGCAGAGAAGGGCGCCCAUAAAUCGCGGGUGUCAGGGCGAAAAACUCUCUUUAUUGUCUGCGUGAUGGAUGGGCCCGGGGACGAGACACCAAAUACUUCGUAUCGCCUUUAAAUGGGAACACAUUUUCCGCGGCCAUAAUUCAUGUUUUUUAAAUAGAAAGUUUGAAAUGUUGCCUAUAUUUCACCGGCCCUGACAUAUUUAUGAAUCGCUCCCUGCAUGCAAAUAUCAUUAUUUAAAGCGCCGGGGAGAGCGCGGGGGAGGGGAGGAGGCGCGGCCCCCGGGGCAUGGGGGUGGUGAGCCGGGGAAAUGUCGGUGGAGGGGGGCUCUCUCCCUAAAGGGCAGAUGAUGAGGCGCGGGGAAAAGCUGUAUCCGGAAACCAAGCGCACCCUGGGGCUUCCCUCCAGCCAGUGGACCCCGCGCGCCUGCCUGGGGAAGUUUUCACGGCUUAGGACCGAGGACAAGCCACCAUACCCUGCCAAGAGACCAGGGAAUAUUUUGCGUCCCUCUCCGAGGCCAAGAUCUAAGCUGAAGCCACCUUUUCCAAGAAGAAAGUUAAAAAAAAAAUUUAACAAACUCAAAUAAUAAUAACCCAACAUGUUUCGUGUUCUUUGCCAUUGCAUCGAUUUUAUUGAUUUUCAUUCUGCAAACCUGGGAUUGUGCGCGCCCAGGCGGGGUGGCCGUCAAAACCCAGUCACCUCAGGGAGUGGGUGGGGGACAAUCCUCCAACACCGCGGCCGCGACCCGCCCUCACCCAAGCAGCUCGCCACCUCCCAGGCACAACGGAGCCUGCGCAAGACGCUAGGACACAAAUGACCCGGCCCCCAAGCUCCGGGGGUUUCAGUCCCGCCCCUCCUUCUCUUCAGUGCACUGCAGCGCUUCCCUCGUCCGCGCCCGCCCUCCCGGAUCACCCACUGUCUCUACCAACGCUGUUUUUUUUUUUUUUAAAGCCGAGCACGUGCAGUCGGCCUCUCCCCUGCCCAUCCGGCGCGGGAGGCGCCCACGCCUGCACCGUCACUUGCCGAGACUUUACCUGUGCAAUCCCCCGCGGCGCCCGCGGUCGCGCCGGUAACAGAGAAAUGGAAGGGAGGGCUGGGGGGUGGGAGGGACAGAGAACACCGCCCGACAGCCAGGUGUGCGGACCCAGGGCCUCCUCUCCGGACGGGUGCUCGGGCCCUGGCCGAACCAGCUCCGGUAGCCGAAUUACGGCGAGGAGAGCGGACCGGGGAGGGGCGAGGGGAACCGGCCUAGGCAGGGAGGGGCGGGCCCAGCGGCACUUCCGCUGGGGGUGUGGCUAGGGCUGCCGCGCAGGCCCCGCCCCCCCGCGCAGGCCCGCCUCCGGCCCGCCGAGCUCCGCCCCCGCUGGGUGAGCUGCAAGAGCUCGUGCCUGGGCCAGAGGCCUGGCGCUUAACCUGGAUUUUGCGGGGGUGGCGGUGGGCAGCUCUCUUUUUGCCACGUGGGGGUUCUUUCUUUUUAGGUCAUAGGAACAGAAGCAUCUACAUACUAGCAACCCAGGCCCAAACUUGCGUGUAAGAUUUGCUCAAACUUUGGUCAUUUGGUAGUCCUGAGACUAACCCGGGCCAGGGGCUCUCAAAGUCUCUCUGGGAUCCGACUAGAUGUCAGGAAUGCAGUCCAUGCUCGUGGGUUCCCACGUUUCUUUUCAGGAGGAACAAAACAGAAACUAACACUUCUUGAUUGUUCAUUUUGUGCCAGGUGCUAUCUAAGGACUUUGUAUGAAUUGUGUCCUCACAGCAACUCUCUAAGGGAGUCCUACCACACGGCAUUUCACUUGAGGAGCCAAAGGCCUUGUCAUGGUCUCAGUCUCCCUGUCCUGCUUCUUCAAAAGAAAAGGGGCCUUUCUGCCACCCACUGGUGAGGACCGCGGAGAUGAGCGGUGUGGGGUGAGAAGUGGCAGCAGUGACCCGAGGAGCUGGCUGAUGUGCAGUGGGACCAGCUCUGUCAGAGCACUAGCGUCAUCUUUGACUUCCGUCCCCCUUAAUAAUUAAUAGCACCCAGAUCGUGUCGACGCAUUCUGCCUUUGAAAUGAGAGCUCCGUAAGGACCUGUGGGAUGAAUGAAGGAGCUACUGCCUGCAGAACCCAAAUGUGAAAGGAGUCAACAUGCAAGAAUGAGGUCAGCAGUCAUGGGAACCAGCAGAUCAGCCCAAGAUGUCACAAAGAUGUGGAAACCGAUGCUCACGGAGAGGAAAACACGUGCUCAAGUUCCAAAGUUUAUUGAUCAUCUAUUCUGGGCAAGGCUGGGAAUAUUUUGAGGUAUAAACGGGGCUCCUUCCAUUCAAGGGGCUGACCACCUCGUUGGGAAGUCAGGAACAGAGGUGAAUGUGCAUGAGACCACCACACAGCAGGCAUCAACGCCAGGCACGUGGAAGAGGCACUAAAAUGAUAUUUCAGACUCUGGAGCAGUCACUGAAGGCUGGACCAUUGGAGAAGCUUGUCCAUGGCGCAGGAAGGACUUGGGAAGGAUUCUGGGCAGGGGGAUUCCCGGGACGUGGAGACAUAGUGAACAAAUGCAUCACCAGGUCACCUUCACACCCAAAGUUGUGGCCCAGUACCCUGAGCUGGGCUCAAACACCAGAGGCACAGAGUGCAGCGUGGGAACAACUUACAGGGCCCUUGAACGUGCUGCUGUUGGUCGUAGAGCAUCGCGUCUGCUGCUUCCUCUAGAGAAGGGCACAAAGCAUGAAGACUUUUAAAAAGGUACCGUGUCCCAAACAGAACUCAUCAUGCACUGUCCCCGACCCCAGCCCCUGCAGCUAGUAUUUUGGUGAAUGACAUUGUCUUGGCUCCUCCAUUCUCUGCUCCCAAGCAGGUGUUAAGUCAAGGCAAUUGGGCUGCAAUCUCUUUGCAAUCAUCCCUCCCUUUGUGUCCCUACUGCGGCUCUUUCUGCAGGUCCUCACCGCGCUUCACGGGGAUACGGGGAGUGGGGUGGGGUGUGCUUUCAGAGCCUGAGAGGACAUUUUCCUGACCCUACUGUCCUCGUCCUCAGCCAUCCUCCCCAUAACUGUUGGACUGGUUGCUCUGAAACACAAACGUAAUUAUUCUACUCGGAUCGCUCUCAAAGUGAGGCCUUUGCCACCUGGUCCCUGCCGACCUCUUUUGCUGUCCACAUUGUCAAGGCCACCCAUGACCCCCGUGUUGUCAAAUCCUGUUAAUUCCUCCAUUCAUUUGGCCUUAAGCAGCACUGGACACACUGAUCAUGCCCUCUUCCUUUCGGUCCUUAACAUUUUAUUUCUAAAAUUUUCAAACUUACGAAAAAGUUUAAAGAAUAAAAUAGAGUGCCCAAUGCCCUUCACCUAGACUCACCAGCUGCUAACACUUUGCCACAUUGGUUCUCUCUCUCUCUCUCUCUCUCUCUCUCUCUCUCUCACACACACACACACACACACACACGCACACACACUUUUUUGGAACCAUCUGAAAGCUGUGGGCAUCUUGAUGUCUACCUUUAAUUUCUUCAGCUCAUAUCUCCUAAGGAAAAGGAUAUUCUCUUACAAAACCACAAUACAAUUAGUACAACUAAGAAAAGUAAUAUUAAUUCAAUACCAUCAGUAAUACCACCAAACAGUUCACAUUUAAAUGUUCCCAAUUUGUCCCUCACAUGUCUUUUUAGCUGCCAGUCCCUGACCCUGGGUCCAGUUCCAGUGUUUAAUAAAGAAGCAUGCUUUGGGCUGGGCGCCGUGGCUCAUGCCUGUAAUC